AGGGAGGUGAGAAGAGGAAGGAAGCGGCGGCGCGGCGAGCACAGCAGCUCAGGCGGCGGCCCAGUUCCUGGGAGUGUCGGUGCGGCGCGGUGGUUGGGGCGGAUCCCGCGGGGCCCGGGCUGGGGAAGGAGUCACCGGCCCGGCCAUGGCGGACAACGAGAAACUGGACAAUCAACGGCUCGAGAAUUUCAAGAACAAAGGCCGCGACUUGGAGACUAUGAGAAGACAACGAAAUGAAGUUGUAGUUGAAUUAAGGAAGAAUAAAAGAGAUGAACAUCUCUUAAAGAGAAGGAAUGUACCACAUGAAGAUAUCUGUGAAGACUCUGAUAUAGAUGGUGAUUACAGAGUGCAAAAUACCUCUCUAGAAGCUAUUGUUCAAAAUGCUUCAAGUGAUAACCAAGGAAUUCAGUUAAGUGCAGUUCAAGCUGCUAGGAAGCUUUUGUCCAGUGAUCGAAAUCCACCGAUUGAUGACUUACUAAAAUCUGGAAUAUUGUCCAUUUUAGUCCAUUGUCUUGAAAGAGAUGACAAUCCUUCUUUGCAGUUUGAAGCUGCAUGGGCUUUGACAAACAUUGCAUCUGGAACUUCUGAACAAACUCAAGCGGUAGUUCAGUCCAAUGCUGUGCCACUUUUCCUGAGGCUUCUCCAUUCACCCCAUCAGAAUGUCUGUGAGCAAGCAGUGUGGGCAUUGGGAAACAUCAUAGGUGAUGGGCCCCAGUGUAGAGAUUAUGUCAUAAGUCUUGGAGUUGUGAAACCUUUACUUUCCUUCAUAAGUCCAUCUAUUCCUAUAACAUUCUUAAGAAAUGUUACUUGGGUUAUGGUCAACUUAUGUCACCACAAAGACCCACCACCACCAAUGGAAACCAUUCAGGAGAUUCUUCCAGCCCUUUGUGUUUUAAAGCCCUUUGUGUUUUACGUUUGUGUUCAUCACACAGACGUAAAUAUAUUGGUAGAUACAGUCUGGGCCCUCUCUUACCUUACUGAUGCUGGCAAUGAACAAAUACAGAUGGUAAUAGACUCUGGAAUAGUUCCUCAUUUGGUUCCUCUGCUCAGCCACCAGGAAGUUAAAGUUCAGACUGCUGCGCUUAGAGCUGUGGGCAACAUUGUUACUGGAACUGAUGAGCAAACACAAGUAGUUUUGAACUGUGAUGCUCUUUCACACUUCCCAGCACUCCUGACACAUCCCAAAGAGAAAAUUAAUAAAGAAGCAGUGUGGUUCCUCUCCAACAUCACUGCAGGAAAUCAGCAGCAGGUACAGGCAGUAAUUGAUACCAAUCUUGUACCAAUGAUAAUACACCUUUUGGAUAAGGGGGAUUUGGGCACUCAAAAAGAAGCUGCUUGGGCCAUAAGUAACUUAACAAUUAGUGGAAGGAAAGAUCAAGUGGCUUACCUUAUCCAGCAAAAUGUUAUCCCACCUUUUUGCAACUUGCUGACUGUAAAAGAUGCACAAGUUGUUCAAGUAGUACUCAAUGGACUAAGUAAUAUAUUAAAAAUGGCUGAAGAUGAGGCAGAAACCAUAGGCAAUCUUACAGAAGAAUGUGGAGGACUGGAGAAAAUUGAACAACUUCAAAAUCAUGAAAAUGAAGACAUCUACAAAUUGGCCUAUGAGAUCAUUGAUCAGUUCUUCUCUUCAGAUGAUAUUGAUGAAGACCCUAGCCUUGUUCCGGAGGCAAUUCAAGGCGGAACAUUUGGUUUCAAUUCAUCUGCCAAUGUACCAACAGAAGGGUUCUAGUUUUAGAAAGAUGUUGUGGAAGUUAGGUACAAUGCAGCACUGAGAUACACACACACACACACACACACACACACAUACACACACAUAUAAAAAGGUUUGAUCCAUCAAGCUUGGCUCAUGGGAUCUGCUGCUGCAUUAAAUCGGGAAAGAAAAUGUGAAGAUUUCAUUAGGAAUCACAGAAAAUGCCCAAAUGAGGUCAAGAUGGCGAGGGGGUGCGAGUGAGAAUGAGUGGCAAAAUGUAAUGAAAACUUUACAUGAACGCUUAUUUAGGUUGUUCAAAGUAAAAAGGGCUACAGGUCACAGAUCGUCAGUGCCUGAGAGAGAACAUUGACUUACUCUAUAUCAAUUGAGGGGAAAGUGCAGUACUGUCAUCUUCAAGCCUUGUAAACAUAAAAGAGAAUAGGCUGCCCAUAUAAGUCAAAGGAAAAUGAGCCCAGGCCUUGCUAUAAAGCAGUGUGUGAAUGGACAAUGUUGAAUGAAUGUCUGGCUUAGUGAUGGAGAGCCAGGUUCAUCUUUGAAAUCUAGGGCUCUUCACUCAUGAAGCAGGCUCCUAGUCCUGGAGUGACUGUGUACGAGAGCGUGGUUGUGGUGCUGUAUGUGAACGCAUGCAAGCUUGAUUCACCUUCAGGGGGCUGAUAACAAACCUAGUAAAUCAUCAAAAUGAGAUCAUAAGUGUUAAUGUACACUGGACAUGAAAACAAAGACUGGUUUAGCAGCAGACAUUGGUUUACUCUGCAGCCUGUGUUUUCUAUUUCCCCCUUUCCCACCUCCUUCCCCCCACCCCACUCUUUUUUUUUUUUUUCUUUUUUUUUUUUUUUAGUCUUUAUUUACUUUACCUAGUAUGCCUUUUUUUUAGUUGCUUCUCAAGUCAGAAAACUUUUCAGGAAGGUUUCCCUGUGCAUUUGCACCAGAUGAAUGUUUGAUGCUAAGAAAAGCUUUCCAUAUCAUCAAAACUAAUUUGUGUAGAUUUUUGCAUGAAAAAAAUCAUAAAUUUCCCUCAAAAUAGACUGUGUUGCAGUACACAAGUUGCCAUAAUAGUAUAAAACAGUAAAAUGUGCUUAAAAGGCCAACCUUUUCAUUUUCAGAGAUAACAUAAAGAUCUUUGCAUGAGGUAAAUCUACAGCAUAGUUCAUUUUUAGAUUUUGUUGAGUCCUGUAAAGAAGAAGAAGAAAAAAGUUUCAGUUGUGGUAGAAUACCGUGCUGUGUUUAAAUGUUACUUGUUUUCAAACCUUGUUUUCUAUGAAAAUGGUAUGAAAACUUCUAAAAUGGAAUUUGGUGCAUAUGUACUGCUGAAUAAAGACCAAUGAAGAGGUUUGAGUAGAUGUACAAAUCAAGUAAUGGUUUGAACACCUUUAAUAAUAUGCCUAAUCUGUUCAAUUGUUUUAGAAUCUUUUUAUCUCAGAUGUAGGCAGCCAUGAACAAUCUAUUUUGAGCCACUUUAGGGAGAAAACUUUGUAUUUUAAAACUUGCAUAAAAGUUAUGCAAGUGGUUUUUAUAAAUUGGAAUAAUACCUCAGUUUUGAGGUUAUGCACACUAAAUUAAAUGUGACAUAAAUUAAUUUGUACAAAAAGAACUCUUUAUAAGGUGGCUAAUUGUAGGAAGUCCUGUGCCUUCCCCUUUGAGCACAAGUGUUGCAUGAACAACAGUUUGCUAUAAGAAACAUACCAGAUUAGCCACCAUUAGCAUCUAUAUCUACUUUGUGUUUAAAAAUCAACUGGUAAUUCUGAAACACUGUAGAAUGGAUAAAAAUUAUUUUGCGAUCAUAACUCUUUGUUGAACUAGAGUACUUUUGCAGUAUUCCUUGUCAUCAGAAACAUGGUUAAAGUUUAAAACUAGAAGCAGCAGAAAACUAGCUUGCAAAAUUUAUCCAAGUAGAGUGCAGGCUAGGCUGUCUUGGGGAAGUAAACAUUAAAACUUAAAGCAAAAAAAAAAAAA